UACGUAGGGGGCAAGCGUUGUCCGGAAUCAUUGGGCGUAAAGAGCGUGUAGGCGGCCAGAAAAGUCCGCUGUGAAAACUGGAGGCUCAACCUUCAGAGGUCGACCGAAACCAUCUGGCUAGAGUCCGGGAGAGGAGAGUGGAAUUCCUGGUGUAGCGGUGAAAUGCGCAGAUAUCAGGAAGAACACCCGUGGCGAAAGCGGCUCUCUGGAAUGGUACUGACGCUGAGACGCGAAAGCGUGGGGAGCGAACAGG
rnacentral:rRNA from 1 species